GGCAACCUGGCCGAGCGGUCUAAGGCGCUAGCUUCAGGAAAUAUUCCAAUAAUGCUAGUCUCGCAAGAGGCGUGAGUUCGAAUCUCACGGUUGUCA
rfam:Pseudomassariella vexata strain CBS 129021 BCR38scaffold_9, whole genome shotgun sequence.